rnacentral:misc_RNA from 1 species
UCCGGCUUAUCACCGGCAGUUUCCUCAGAGUGCCCAGCAUUACCUGAUGGCAACAGAGGAUGAGGGUUGCGCUCGUUGCGGGACUUAACCCAACAUCUCACGACACGAGCUGACGACAGCCAUGCAGCACCUGUGCUCCCUCCAGCCGAGCUGAAGGACGCCAUUUCUGGUGUCCGCGAGGGGCAUGUCAAGGCCUGGUAAGGUUCUUCGCGUUGCCUCGAAUUAAACCACAUGUUCCACCGCUUGUGCGGGUCCCCGUCAAUUCCUUUGAGUUUUAAUCUUGCGACCGUACUCCCCAGGCGGGAUGCUUAACGCGUUAGCUACGCCACUGAAGGGUUGACCCCCAACGGCUAGCAUCCAUCGUUUACAGCGUGGACUAC